CGCAGAGUUCCCGCUUGAUUGCGUUUGUGUUUUAGUUUAUUGUUCUUCCUCAUCUAAAGUGAAGCACUAAGCUGAUCAGCAGGAGGAGAAGAGUCUGACGGAGCAGCAGAGGAAAUUUCAGCUACUUGGACUCAGCUCAGCCACUGCAGAGAAAACAAUGAGUUCGACACAGAAGGACCAACAUGGACCGAGAAGUCAGCGCUCUCAGGAGGCCGACAAACCUCACAGGAGAAAGAGAGAGAAAAAAUACACCUGUGACGAGUGUGGGAAGGAUUUUACGAGGAAGUCUAAACUAAAACAACAUCAGCUCAUCCACACUGGAGAGAGACCGUUCAGCUGUGACUUGUGUGGAAA